rnacentral:rRNA from 1 species
UGAUGGCCAGGCUGUCUCCACCCGAGACUCAGUGAAAUUGAACUCGCUGUGAAGAUGCAGUGUACCCGCGGCAAGACGGAAAGACCCCGUGAACCUUUACUAUAGCUUGACACUGAACAUUGAGCCUUGAUGUGUAGGAUAGGUGGGAGGCUUUGAAGUGUGGACGCCAGUCUGCAUGGAGCCGACCUUGAAAUACCACCCUUUAAUGUUUGAUGUUCUAACGUGGACCCGUGAUCCGGGUUGCGGACAGUGUCUGGUGGGUAGUUUGACUGGGGCGGUCUCCUCCUAAAGAGUAACGGAGGAGCACGAAGGUUGGCUAAUCCUGGUCGGACAUCAGGAGGUUAGUGCAAUGGCAUAAGCCAGCUUGACUGCGAGCGUGACGGCGCGAGCAGGUGCGAAAGCAGGUCAUAGUGAUCCGGUGGUUCUGAAUGGAAGGGCCAUCGCUCAACGGAUAAAAGGUACUCCGGGGAUAACAGGCUGAUACCGCCCAAGAGUUCAUAUCGACGGCGGUGUUUGGCACCUCGAUGUCGGCUCAUCACAUCCUGGGGCUGAAGUAGGUCCCAAGGGUAUGGCUGUUCGCCAUUUAAAGUGGUACGCGAGCUGGGUUUAGAACGUCGUGAGACAGUUCGGUCCCUAUCUGCCGUGGGCGCUGGAGAACUGAGGGGGGCUGCUCCUAGUACGAGAGGACCGGAGUGGACGCAUCACUGGUGUUCGGGUUGUCAUGCCAAUGGCACU